UGUGCAUCAACUCAAACCAAAUGUAGCUAUGUGUACAAAAUAUUUUGGGGUAUUUGUUUCCCACUAAAUUUUUGGUCAUCAUAAUUCAGGCAAUGCAACCUGAUCAAACUUGGGCAAAUAAACAUAUACCAAUUAUCUAUGGAGCAUGAAGACUCAUCUAUGGUCAAAUGCUCCAGAUUGUUGACGUUCAUGAUACAUCUCCAAAAGAGCUGAGAUACAGGAGAACACCAAUGUAUUGUUUUAAAUCAAGCGUUCAUCCAAGUGGCCUGAAAGGUGAAAGUAAACGAGGCGUCCAGUUUCCACAGUACAGUAUUUAACAAAGUUAUAAAAUAGUAGUACAUCUGAAGUGCCUUGGACGAGCAAAGAUAACAGCAGUUCCCCGAGAAGCUGGAUAGACGCACACGGCAGUUAGGUAAGUAUCUGGCUCCUGACUUUGACAGCACACACUUUUACCUGGCUCGAACUGGGCUUCCCGCUGAGGUAGCCGCCUCACACAGCACAAUCGCUGAGAGACAAAGCACAAGCAGCGCUUUCCCCGUGUUGUCCCUCCUCCUGCAGCCUGCAGCCGGUUCCACGGACUAAGCGAUGCCGAGGCGGACUCACCACACCGAAAGAGGGAGCUCGACUCCUGCCACUAUCCGACCCCGGAGCUGUCUGCCUCUGCUUGUUCGGCUGGCGGGGAUUUACUGCAACUCAUCUAGAAAGCCUACUGAAGCGGCCACGGAAGACUUGAAAUAAACGAACUGCUAUCACGACCAUCUAUCUCACAUCUACAUGAUAGUAAUCAUUAAGAACAAUUAACACACUCCUUUAACAAUGCAUCCCUAUCCUUAACAUGUUCCGUUCAAAA